UAGCCUUGACAUACUACAGAAUUUGACAGAGAUGUUGGAGUGCCUUCGGGAGCUAUAUUACAGGUGCUGCACGGCUGUCGUCAGCUCGUGUCGUGAGAUGUUGGGUUAAGUCCCGCAACGAGCGCAACCCUCGUCACUAGUUACUAACGGUUAGGCCGAGGACUCUAGUGAGACUGCCUUCGUAAGGAGGAGGAAGGUGAGGACGACGUCAAGUCAUCAUGGCCCUUACGGCUAGGGCAACACACGUGCUACAAUGGUUAGGACAAUGAGAAGCAAUAUCGCGAGGUGGAGCAAAUCUAUAAACCUAAUCUCAGUUCGGAUUGUAGUCUGCAACUCGACUACAUGAAGCUGGAAUCACUAGUAAUCGUAGAUCAGCUAUGCUACGGUGAAUACGUUCCCGGGUCU
rnacentral:rRNA from 1 species